rnacentral:rRNA from 1 species
UACGAAGGGGGCUAGCGUUGCUCGGAAUCACUGGGCGUAAAGCGCACGUAGGCGGACUCUUAAGUCGGGGGUGAAAUCCUGGAGCUCAACUCCAGAACUGCCUCCGAUACUGGGAGUCUUGAGUCCGGGAGAGGUGAGUGGAACUGCGAGUGUAGAGGUGAAAUUCGUAGAUAUUCGCAAGAACACCAGUGGCGAAGGCGGCUCACUGGCCCGGUACUGACGCUGAGGUGCGAAAGCGUGGGGAGCAAACAGG